CCUGCGAAUGAGUAAAAAGUCAUUAUUAGCCUUUAUGAAAGGACAUAUGACAUAAAACAUUGUGAAUGAAUUCCAAUAGCAAUAUGACUUAUCAUCAGCUGUAUCAACAUACCCAGCGGUGUCCAUGAUCCAGAGGCAAAGUCAUUGCUUCUAUAAGACUGGAAAGAUUGGUCAAAGUUGAAGGCCUGGAUGGUAAUUCGACCCAACAUGGACCUAAAAGACAAUUGGAAACAUAAUUAACAAACCCAGGAAAUAUCACACAAGGCAACUAAAAUUCUUCUUUUAGAAAAGGAAACUACCUUGGAAUCUACAGUGACAUUUUCAAAGAAUCUGAUAUCUGACAUGCAAGUAGACCAGAAAUGCAAACAGCUUUACAAGAAUCUGUUCAUUUGGGAUUCCCCCUAUAUGGGGUUGAUCUUGAUCUUAUGUGUCUUACACAAGACUAAUCAGGACACAUUACACAAUUAGGAGUGAAUAAUGUUUAACCAUGUCAUUUAUUGAAUCUAAAAAUGCAGCUCUCAUUUUAUGUAUUUGAUGUGGCCUGUGUAUUGAUGACUUUAGUUAAAAUAAAAUUUGACUAAAAUAAAGUGUGUGCUUUAUGGAUCUAGACUUAUGCUUAAUCUUUUUAUAAUUAAAAAAAAGAUUGGCAAGUAUGUUUACACACAAAAGGGAUUUGUCUUGUUGACAGGAGCUUCAGUGCAGAAAAAGUACAAUACAGACAUACAUAGGC